GUCGCAUUCGAUAUCAACAGCACAUUGCUCACGUUACUCCAGGACUGGAGAGUCACUACGAGCUGUGUGUGGAAGAUAUGCUAACAAGCUGAGCUAACUUAGCGCCCUCGGAAGCUGAAGAAGAAAGGGUGGUCCUAAAGAGGCAGGCGUUUUUCGGAGGUCCCAAGAAGAUUUGGACAUUCCACCACAUAAAAUUGGCGUCACGGACAGGAUGGUCUAGAACGCUGCACUCGAUAUCCGGACUCCCGGUAUCACAAGGCAGACAGAGUUUGCAUCGUCGCAUAAGGAGAGACCAUGAGGCGUGAGAGAGAGGAAGAGAAAGAGGUAACAGACACAGCAGACACAUCAAAACACAGCAAGGCGAGCGGCACAGACAAGACAGCGGAGGCGGUGAAUACGCGGCGGGACAACACAGUAGAGCUGAUAUAUAUAAUCAUUACAUCAUUGCUAGUACAGAAGACACAGGAAGCCUCAUGGUGUGUUUGUACUCCAAGAAAGAUCCAGUCUGUAUAGAAUUUGAGCACUUUGAUUAAUAUGCUCCCAUAUUGAAAGAAAAGAAUGGCUUAUUUUUAGGUUGACGAACCCUACUAUGUCGUCCCAUAAUGCAGAUAAAGAACAGGAAGCUACAGUGAGAACAACACUACUCAGUUUUGAUUGACACUGACAUUACUUUAACAACAUGUUCAUAAACACCACAUUGCACUGAGGUGUGGCUAUAAUAUCUUGGUAGGAUGUAAGGUAGUUUAACACAUGAUAAACAGUUGACAGUAAAUAUCUGGGAUGUAUUACACUUAUAGAUUGAGGUACAAUACAGCACCAUGCCAGGUAAAGACAUUGACUUGUCUACUUUUCACAAGCUCUAACUCUUGUUGUAAUGCGCCUUUACUCAAACAUACGCUCUACAAAUCUGUUACGACCGUAAGUCGGCUUCCUUACGUGUUGUUGACAAUCUGCAGCGUGUCGCCUUUCCGAAAGGUCAGAUCGGAUGCGGUGCGUGAUUCAUAGUCAUACA